rnacentral:rRNA from 1 species
GAUUGACUAUUUUUGUCGAUGAAUCCUUUGAGUUUCUGCCCCAUCAGUUGUCCACGGUAGUGUAUUGGACUACGGUGACUAAAACGGGUGACGGAAAAUUAGGGCUCAACUCCGGAAAGGGAGCCUGAAAAACGGCUACCAUAUCCAAGGAUAGCAGCAGGCCCGUAAAUUACCCACUGGGGACUCCACAAGGUAAUGACCAAAAAUAUCCAUGCCAAACGUGUAUGCCUUUUGCUAUCGGAAUGAAAGCAAUGUAAAACCCUCAUCGAGGAUCAACUGGAGGGCAAGUCUGGUGCCACCAACCCCGGUAAUUCCAGCUCCAAAACCAUAUGCUAAAGUUGUUGCAGUUAAAAAGCUCGUAAUUGAAUUUCGGGCAGGGGCAACCGGGGCUUUCCCUGAAUGGGGAUUGAUUGGCUGGGUUGCCUUGGCCAUCUUUUUCCUUCCUUUUUUGGGAAAAAAUCUUUCACUGGAAUCAAAGCAAAAUGUUCCAAGCAGGUCGUAUGACCGGUAUGUUUAUUAUGGGAUGAUAAAAUAGGACUUGGGUGCUAUUUUGUUGGUUUGCACCCCUGAAUAAGGGUUAAUAAGAACAGUUGGGGGGUAUUCGUAUUUAGGAGCUAAAGGGGGAAAUUCUUGGAUUUCCCAAAAAACUAACUAAA